rnacentral:lncRNA from 1 species
ACACUGAGGGGGUUGGGGACACUGGGGGGGCAUUGGGGACACUGGGGGGGACACUGGGGGGCAUUGGGGGGGUGGGGACAUUGGGGACAGCAGGGGGGGUGGGGGGACACUGGGGGGACACUGGGAGGGUUGGGGACAUUGGGGACACUGGGGGGACACUGGGGGGGACAGUGGGGGGACACUGGGGGGACAUUGGGGUGGGAGGUGGCAUUUGGGGUGGGAGGUGGCAUUUUGGGGUGUCAGGUGACACUUUUGGGGUGGGAGGUGGCAUUUUGGGGUGGGAAGUGGCACUUUUGGGGUGGGAGGUGGCACUUUUAGGGUGGCAGGUGGCAUUUUGGGGUGGCAGGUGGCACUUUUGGGGUGUCAGGUGGCAUUUUGGGGUGACCCCUCUGCCCCCUCCCGCAGCGAAGCCGCCGCCCACUACAACCCUGAGCCCCCCGUAAGUGACCCCCACCCCCUCCCCCUGGGGACCCUCGGGGGUGUCCCCUGACGCCCCCUCCCCCCGGGUUUGGGGUGCCCUGAGCCCCCGGAUUUGGGAUUCCCUGACCCCCGGAUUUGGGGCGCCCUGACCCCCGGAUUUGGGGCGCCCUGACCCCCGGGUUUGAGGUGCCCCUGACCCCCAUUUUGGGAUCAUCUGACCCCCGGAUUUGGGGUGCCCCUGACCCCCCAUUUUGGGAUCCUCUGACCCCCGGGUUUGGGGUACCCUCACCCCCCAUUUUGGGAUUCCCUCACCCCCAUUUGGGGCACCCUGACCCCCGAUUUUGGGAUCCUCUGACCCCCGGGUUUGGGGCGCCCUGAUCCCCAUUUUGGGGCGCCCCUGACCCCCCAUUUUGGGAUUCCCU